GUCCAGACUCCUACGGGAGGCAGCAGUGAGGAAUAUUGGUCAAUGGCCGAGAGGCUGAACCAGCCAAGUCGCGUGAGGGAUGACGGCCCUACGGGUUGGAAAACCCUUUUGUCGGGGAGCAAAGAGAGUCACGUGUGACUCAUUGAGAGUGCCCGAAGAAAAAGCAUCGGCUAACUCCGUGCCAGCAGCCGCGGUAAUACGGAGGAUGCGAGCGUUAUCCGGAUUUAUUGGGUUUAAAGGGUGCGCAGGCGGGGGUGCAAGUCAGCGGUCAAAUUGCGGGGCUCAACCCCGUACUGCCGUUGAAACUGGCGUUCUUGAGUGGGCGAGAAGUAUGCGGAAUGCGUGGUGUAGCGGUGAAAUGCGUAGAUAUCACGCAGAACUCCGAUUGCGAAGGCAGCAUACCGGCGCCCAACUGACGCUGAAGCACGAAAGCGUGGGUAUCGAACAGGAUUAGAUACCCUGGUACCU
rnacentral:rRNA from 1 species